GCCACCGCUCAAGACCAGGCCUCAAAAUGGCCACACACGCACCCCCGUAGCAGAAAAACAUCGCCCAGGACCACACCGCAGCGUAACUGCAGGCCUCUCAGCGAAAAAGGGGGAAAGCAAAGCCUGGGGUCCGCAUCCUCCACCUCGGCUUCCGCCCCUCUCCGGCGGAGUGGAGAUCCUAUUCAGAGGGUCCAGUCUCUCUAAAUAUGCCCCAGGUGAGUUUUCAAGGGGAUGGUGCCAGUGGAAAGUGUCCAGGAAGGCCUUGGG
rnacentral:lncRNA from 1 species